CAUUGGGCCAGCGUGGAAGACUAUGGCCUAAGCCCUUCUCAUUCUGAGAGGAGACCCGUACUCAGUAGUGGGGCGGAAAUGGGUUGAUCAUGAUGAUGAUGAUGAUGAUGUAUAAUGAUUGCGAACAGAGUUACCCAAUUGCCCUCUUUGGACGGAUUGCAUCGCAAUACAUCUAAACUAAUUCAAAAUAAAGCAUCAUCCAAAUCUGCCCGACUAAACCGACUAUGAAGCGGGAACAUUAGCCGCGUGGCGGUCGUCUCCCACGAUAAUUACUGGUGCCAUGUACACUUACGCGGUCAUUACAUGUAUAGACGAACCCACAUCCCGCGUUCAUGACGCGCAGGUGUGGACGUGACUUUGCGUUUUUACCACGCAACGCGAUUGACGCGAUGUAGUAGUCAAAAAAUAUGCACAAGUCUAUGUCCAAUAUUUGUUAACACUCCCGGUGCCUUAAAUAGUUCAAGCGUAUUUUUGUUGUAAAAAUAAAUAAUUUAUGGUUUUUAUUUUUAUUCUAUAAAUGUGACGAUAAAUAAAGACAAAUAUACCU